AUGCACAAGCACACACACACCAUCACACAAACACACACACAAGCACACACCGUCAUACAAAUACACACACAAGCGCGCGCGCGAACACACACAAACACACACACCCCUAGCUAUUUACUACUUAGUCAAGCUCCANNNNNNNNNNNNNNNNNNNNNNNNNNNAUUCUGCUGGAAUUCAUAAAUAACUACAAAUCUUUGAUUCUCUUCUAUUUUUCUCAAAAAGGGAAACAGUUUAACACUGGAAUUGGGUUCACAAUAGAUUUUCUUUAUUUCUGCCCACCCAUAUUUAACUCACUGUCAGGUCACAGAGGAAAAAAAAUCAAAAUGUUAAUAAAAUGUUUCAUUUUAUCACCAAGCAGUUCAAAUUGGCAUAUAGUUUGGAAAAAUGAAAGCAUGUUUUAAAAUCCUAUGAUUACAUGUUUAAAUAAAUUAUAGUUUAGAAGAGGAUUCCUGUGGGUGUAUUUGCUAGUACAUAAGAGAAUGCUUUUGUGCAUAGAGGUUUAAUUACACAUAUAAUGGAAUCAAAAUGUAGAAUUGAACAACCUUUUAGAAAAUGUUCAAAUGAUGCUCUAGGCUAACAGAAACUGAAAUUCUGCAUUUACAUGACUGCAAUCCUACAAGAUUCUUGAAUGUAAAUAGAUUCUUGAAUAUAAACUACUUCAUAACUCAAUUAAAAUGACAACAAUGUUUCUUUCAGGGCCCAGAAUCUGAUAUCUUUAAAUUAUUGCCACGUAUAAAUACAUAAAGUUACCCCAAAUGAAGGUCAGUAUUUUUAACAAUUUAAAAUAAAUGGGAAUAAAAACUGAUCCUACCUGUAAGAGCUCCUUUUUUUGAAACCAACUAAAAUUACAAUAUUAUUAUUUCUGUCAAUAUACAGUAUUAUAUGACCUCAGAAAAAGCACAUAGGAAAAUAAUAUUAUCUUUUAUGAUAUUAGCCAGUAUGAAGCAGAACAUAUUGGUGUAUAUAUAUAACAUUUUCAUAAAAAACAAUGUAAAUAAUACAUACUCAAAUCUAAAUCUAAGCAUUUUAUUUUAUGCAAGGCUAAGCAGAUUAUAUUUAAUAAAACUGAGAUUUUUGGUAUGAUUUAGAAAGCAAAUAU
rnacentral:lncRNA from 1 species